rnacentral:rRNA from 1 species
CACGUAGUUAGCCGGGGCUUCUUAGUCAGGUACCGUCCAAAGUCCUGUGGACCUUUUUUCUUCCCUGCUGAUAGAGCUUUACGUACCGAAAUACUUCUUCACUCACGCGGCGUCGCUGCAUCAGGGUUUCCCCCAUUGUGCAAUAUCCCCCACUGCUGCCUCCCGUAGGAGUCUGGGCCGUGUCUCAGUCCCAAUGUGGCCGUUCACCCUCUCAGGCCGGCUACUGAUCGUUGCCUUGGUGGGCUUUUACCUCACCAACUAGCUAAUCAGACGCGGAACCAUCGUAUACCACCGGAGUUUUUCACACUGCUUCAUGCGAAGCUGUGCGCUUAUGCGGUAUUAGCACCUAUUUCUAAGUGUUAUCCCCCAGUAUACGGCAGGUUUUCCACGCGUUACUCACCCGUCCGCCACUAACUUAUAAUUCACUAGGUUUCGUUAUAAGUCCGUUCGACUUGCAUGUGUUAGGCACGCCGCCAGCGUUCAUCCUGAGCCAGGAUCAAACUCU